CAGCAGCCGCGGUAAUACGGAGGGAGCGAGCGUUAAUCGGAAUUACUGGGCGUAAAGCGCGCGUAGGCGGCUUUGUAAGUCGGAUGUGAAAGCCCUGGGCUCAACCUGGGAAUUGCAUUCGAUACUGCAGAGCUAGAGUAUGGUAGAGGGAAGUGGAAUUUCCGGUGUAGCGGUGAAAUGCGUAGAUAUCGGAAGGAACACCAGUGGCGAAGGCGACUUCCUGGGCCAAUACUGACGCUGAGGUGCGAAAGCGUGGGGAUCAAACAGGAUUAGAUACCCUGGUAGUCCACGCCGUAAACGAUGUCUACUAGCCGUUGGGAGACUUGAUUUCUUAGUGGCGCAGCUAACGCAAUAAGUAGACCGCCUGGGGAGUACGGCCGCAAGGUUAAAACUCAAAUGAAUUGACGGGGGCCCGCACAAGCGGUGGAGCAUGUGGUUUAAUUCGAUGCAACGCGAAGAACCUUACCAGGUCUUGACAUCCUGCGAAUUUUCUAGAGAUAGAUUAGUGCCUUCGGGAACGCAGUGACAGGUGCUGCAUGGCUGUCGUCAGCUCGUGUCGUGAGAUGUUGGGUUAAGUCCCGUAACGAGCGCAACCCUUGUCCUUAGUUGCCAGCACGUAAUGGUGGGAACUCUAAGGAGACUGCCGGUGACAAACCGGAGGAAGGUGGGGACGACGUCAAGUCAUCAUGGCCCUUACGACCUGGGCUACACACGUGCUACAAUGGAACGCACAGAGGGCUGCAAACCCGCGAGGGGGAGCGAAUCCCACAAAACGUUUCGUAGUCCGGAUUGGAGUCUGCAACUCGACUCCAUGAAGUCGGAAUCGCUAGUAAUCGUGAAUCAGAAUGUCACGGUGAAUACGUUCCCGGGCCUUGUACACACCGCCCGUCACACCAUGGGAGUGGGUUGCUCCAGAAGUGGUUAGCCUAACCUUCGGGAGGGCGAUCACCACGGAGUGAUUCAUGACUGGGGUGAAGUCGUAACAAGGUAACCGUA
rnacentral:rRNA from 1 species